rnacentral:rRNA from 1 species
CUACGUGCCAGCAGCCGCGGUAAUACGUAGGUCCCGAGCGUUGUCCGGAUUUAUUGGGCGUAAAGCGAGCGCAGGCGGUUAGAUAAGUCUGAAGUUAAAGGCUGUGGCUUAACCAUAGUACGCUUUGGAAACUGUUUAACUUGAGUGCAAGAGGGGAGAGUGGAAUUCCAUGUGUAGCGGUGAAAUGCGUAGAUAUAUGGAGGAACACCGGUGGCGAAAGCGGCUCUCUGGCUUGUAACUGACGCUGAGGCUCGAAAGCGUGGGGAGCAAACAGGAUUAGAUACCCUGGUAGUCCACGCCGUAAACGAUGAGUGCUAGGUGUUAGACCCUUUCCGGGGUUUAGUGCCGUAGCUAACGCAUUAAGCACUCCGCCUGGGGAGUACGACCGCAAGGUUGAAACUCAAAGGAAUUGACGGGGGCCCGCACAAGCGGUGGAGCAUGUGGAUUAAUUCGAUGCAACGCGAAGAACCUUACCUGGGUUUGACAUGCACCAGAUCGGCGUAGAGAUACG